ensembl:lncRNA
GGAAAUUCAAUGAGAAACAAUAUUCAGGUCAGGGCAAAGCCUAGAGAAAAACACUCAUUCAGAAGUGGGCUGCCAUCCUGCUUUUUCUGAAGUGAGCAGCUGCUGGGUAUUGAAACCAGCUCUCACAGUUGGGUCCCUGCCACCAUGGAAACACUCUGGCUUCUAUGCUGGGGUGGCCAAGGCACAAUGGGGUGGUUCCAUGGCCCAGAAGCACUCUGGCUAUAGAUUAGGAAUGCCAAGAACUACAGCAAAAUCUUGUCCAGAUGUGAUUCUACCAUGCCAUCAGCCCUGAAGACAUAACUCCAGAAUUACAGAUUUUGCCUAUUUAUCCAAAAUGUGUACCUUAUGCUGCCAGUUCCUGAACUUUUUGAAGAUUCCGUGGUUUGAAGCCAGCUUAGGACUCAGCUUUUUUGGCUUGUUCAUCUGCUUUCCAGCUUCCAAUGCUGUGUUGUUCUUAUCUUUCCUAUUUUUCCUAUACUGGAAUGUUUGUCUUUUGUAAAAAUUUGGUUUUACUUAAGUAAAAAUUUGGUUUUAGGUACUUCGGGAGAAAGUGAAAUUAGAUAUAGUCGUGCUCCCUUAUCUGUAGGGCAUACGUUCCAAAACCCCUGGUGGAUAACUGAAACCAGCAGAGAGUACUAAACCCUAUAUAAACUGUAUUUUUUCCUAUACAUACCUAUGAUAAAAUUUAAUUUAUAAGUUAGGCACAGUAGGAGAUUAAUAGAAAUAACUAAGAAUAAUUAUAUAGUAUUAUAAAAGUUAUGGGACUGCCUCUCUCAAAACAUCUUAUUGUACUGUAGUUACCCUUCUUGUGAUGCUAUGAGAUGAAAAAAAGCCUACGUGAUGAGAUGAAGAGAGGUGAGUGAUGUAGGCAUUGUGAUAUAGCAUUAGGCCACUAUUGACCUUCUGACAGUAGGAAGGAGAAUCAUCUGCUUCAGGUGAUUCUAGUUCAUUAAGUCAUGACGAUGUUGAUGGUUGGAUGUCAGGAGCAGAGGAUGUUGAGGACUAACAGGCAGGUAGCAUAUUCGGCAUGAAUAUGCUGGGCAAACAGAUAAUUCACGUUCCAUGCUAGACAGAAUG